rnacentral:rRNA from 2 species
GAAUUUUAUAUAUUUUUAUUUAGUAAAAUUUAUAUUGAAAUAAAUAAGAAGAUAUUUUAUUGGGAGGAUAGUUAAAUAUAAAAAACUUUAAUUAAAAUUGAAAUAUAAAUUAAUAAAUUUAAGAAUGAUUAAAUAAAUUAAUUAAGAAUUAAUUACCUUAGGGAUAACAGCGUAAUAUUUUUGGAGAGUUCAUAUUAAUAAAAAUGUUUGC